rnacentral:rRNA from 1 species
AUGAACGCUAGCGGGAGGCCUAACACAUGCAAGCCGAGCGGUAGAGAUUCUUCGGGAGCUUGAGAGCGGCGUACGGGUGCGGAACACGUGUGCAACCUGCCUUUAUCUGGGGGAUAGCCGUUCGAAAGGAAGAUUAAUACCCCAUAAUAUAAGAGACGGCAUCGUUUUUUAUUGAAAACUCCGGUGGAUAGAGAUGGGCACGCGCAAGAUUAGGUGGUUGGUGAGGUAACGGCUCACCAAGUCUACGAUCUUUAGGGGGCCUGAGAGGUUGAUCCCCCACACUGGUACUGAGACACGGACCAGACUCCUACGGGAGGCAGCAGUGAGGAAUAUUGGACAAUGGGUGAGAGCCUGAUCCAGCCAUCCCGCGUGAAGGACGACGGCCCUAUGGGUUGUAAACUUCCUUUGUAUAGGGAUAAACCUACCCUCGUGAGGGUAGCUGAAGGUACUAUACGAAUAAGCACCGGCUAACUCCGUGCCAGCCGCCGCGGUAAAAC